rnacentral:rRNA from 1 species
AUGAACGCUGGCGGCGUGCCUAAUACAUGCAAGUCGAGCGAACGGACGAGAAGCUUGCUUCUCUGAUGUUAGCGGCGGACGGGUGAGUAACACGUGGAUAACCUACCUAUAAGACUGGGAUAACUUCGGGAAACCGGAGCUAAUACCGGAUAAUAUUUUGAACCGCAUGGUUCAAAAGUGAAAGACGGUCUUGCUGUCACUUAUAGAUGGAUCCGCGCUGCAUUAGCUAGUUGGUAAGGUAACGGCUUACCAAGGCAACGAUGCAUAGCCGACCUGAGAGGGUGAUCGGCCACACUGGAACUGAGACACGGUCCAGACUCCUACGGGAGGCAGCAGUAGGGAAUCUUCCGCAAUGGGCGAAAGCCUGACGGAGCAACGCCGCGUGAGUGAUGAAGGUCUUCGGAUCGUAAAACUCUGUUAUUAGGGAAAAACAUAUGUGUAAGUAACUGUGCACAUCUUGACGGUACCUAAUCAGAAAGCCGCGGCUAACUACGUG